UACGGGAGGCAGCAGGGGGAAUAUUGCACAAUGGGCGCAAGCCUGAUGCAGCCACGCCGCGUGUAUGAAAAAGGCCUUCGGGUUGUAAAGUACUUUCAGUCGUGAGGAAGGUGUUAAGGUUAAUAACCUUAGCAAUUGACGUUAGCGACAGAAGAAGCACCGGCUAACUCCGUGCCAGCAGCCGCGGUAAUACGGAGGGUGCGAGCGUUAAUCGGAAUUACUGGGCGUAAAGGGCACGCAGGCGGUUAAUUAAGUUGGAUGUGAAAUCCCCGGGCUUAACCUGGGAAUGGCAUUCAAGACUGGUUAGCUAGAGUCUUGUAGAGGGGGUAGAAUUCCAUGUGUAGCGGUGAAAUGCGUAGAGAUGUGGAGGAAUACCGGUGGCGAAGGCGGCCCCUGGACAAAGACUGACGCUCAUGUGCGAAAGCGUGGGGAGCAAACAGGGAUUAGAUACC
rnacentral:rRNA from 1 species